AGCGAACGCUGGCGGCGUGCCUAACACAUGCAAGUCGAACGUGAAAAGGGAAACCUGAGUAAAGUGGCGUACGGGUGAGUAACGCGUAGGUAAUCUACCCCAGAAUCUGGAAUAACCUGCCGAAAGGCGGGCUAAUACUGGAUAGAGCGAGGGAACUCGUAAGAGAGUUUUUCGGGAAAGGGAGCCCGCAAGGGCCUUCGUUCUGGGAUGAGCCUGCGUCUCAUUAGCUAGUUGGUAAGGUAACGGCUUACCAAGGCGAUGAUGAGUAGCUGGUCUGAGAGGAUGGUCAGCCACACUGGGACUGAAAUACGGUCCAGACUCCUACGGGAGGCAGCAGUGGGGAAUCUUGCGCAAUGGACGAAAGUCUGACGCAGCCACGCCGCGUGAGUGAAGAAGGCCUUCGGGUUGUAAAGCUCUGUCGGAUGGGACGAACAUCUUCAUAGUGAAUAGCUAUGAGGACUGACGGUACCAUCAAAGGAAGCACCGGCUAACUCCGUG
rnacentral:rRNA from 1 species